CCCUUAGACGCUCUCGGCGGCACGCGCGCUACAAUGGGUGGUAGAACGUGUAACUGCUCCCGAAAGGGAGGGUGAACCACGAAUACUUACCCGUGAAUGGGAUAGUUUGUUGCAAUUUUCGGACUUGAACUAGGAAUCCCUUGUAAGAAUGCUCAAGAAUAGCGUGCUGAAUACGUCCCUGCCGUUUGUACACACCGCCCGUCGUUUCUUCCGACUGAUACUCAUUGUGAGUUGCAAGGAUUCUUAUUGAAAAAUUGCUGCGAAUGCUUUGUAUUGGAGGAAGAAAAAGUCGUAACA
rnacentral:rRNA from 1 species